rnacentral:rRNA from 1 species
UACGUAGGGGGCAAGCGUUGUCCGGAUUUAUUGGGCGUAAAGAGCGUGUAGGCGGCCUGACAAGUCUGCUGUGAAAACUCGAGGCUCAACCUCGAGAUGUCGGCGGAAACUGUCUGGCUAGAGUCCGGAAGAGGAGAGUGGAAUUCCUGGUGUAGCGGUGAAAUGCACAGAUAUCAGGAAGAACACCUAUGGCGAAGGCAGCUCUCUGGGACGGUACUGACGCUGAGACGCGAAAGCGUGGGGAGCGAACAGG